GGGCAUAUAGCUCAGCCAGGUAGAGUAGUGGGCUUUUAACCCAUUGGCCCAGGGUUCGAAUCCCUGUAUGCCCGCCA
rnacentral:tRNA from 1 species